rnacentral:rRNA from 1 species
CAGAGACUGCAAGCGUUAUUCGGAUUCACUGGGCGUAAAGGGUGCGCAGGCGGCCAAGUGUGUGAGGCGUGAAAGCCCGGGGCUUAACCCCGGAAUUGCACCUCAAACUACAUGGCUAGAGCAUUGGAGAGGGUAGCAGAAUUCAUGGUGUAGCAGUGAAAUGCGUAGAUAUCAUGAGGAAUACCAGAGGCGAAGGCGGCUACCUGGACAAUUGCUGACGCUCAGGCACGAAAGCGUGGGGAGCAAAAGGGAUUAGAUACCCCUGUAGUCCACGCCCUAAACGGUGCACACUAGGUCUUGGCGGAUUCGACCCCCCCAGGGCCCCAGCUAACGUGUUAAGUGUGCCGCCUGAGGACUACGGCCGCAAGGCUA